rnacentral:lncRNA from 1 species
UUGACGGGGAUGAUAUCAGGUCCAAACCCUGGACCUCUUCCAUAUAGAGAUAGACGCCAAGUAGCUAAGCUAAGGCUGAUUGACAGAAAAGGCUUAUUUACUGAAACCUAGACCUAAUCUCUUUGACUCCCUCUAAUCGAAAGCCUUGAGCACUGAGAUGAAAGAGACAAAACCAUUGAUAGGAAAAGUUGUCGACAACAUACCACGGACACGCAACAAUUACUAGUUAUAUUGAUUUGGGAUUGUCUUUUGAUAAUCUAGACAAUGGACCUAAAAUAUUAAAGACGAUGCAACAAACACUUGGAAUCCAAUGUCCAAUCUAACAUUAGCUAAAUAGCAGUAUUCCAAUGCUUUUUCAUAACUUUAAAUCAAACUCAACCUGACCUAACCUAAUUAAUCCAAGGAGACCCAACUUGAAUUUAGAUUAAGAAGGGAUUGGUUUGAGGUAGGCUAGAUAUCUCGCCUGAAAAUGGGUUGCAUCAGGUAAGGAUUGGUCUGACUCUCAACAUGGCCAGCCUAAGUGGUGUGAAAAUUUCUG